rnacentral:rRNA from 1 species
CAGCCGCCACGGUAAUACGAAGGGUGCAAGCGUUGAUCGGAAUUACUGGGCGUAAAGCGUGCGUAGGCGGUUUGUUAAGUCUGCUGUGAAAUCCCCGGGCUCAACCUGGGAAUGGCAGUGGAUACUGGCAAGCUAGAGUGUGUCAGAGGAUGGUGGAAUUCCCGGUGUAGCGGUGAAAUGCGUAGAGAUCGGGAGGAACAUCAGUGGCGAAGGCGGCCAUCUGGGACAACACUGACGCUGAGGCACGAAAGCGUGGGGAGCAAACAGGAUUAGAUACCCGCGUAGUCCCUGUCUCUUAUAC